GACGAAGGGGGCUAGCGUUGUUCGGAAUUACUGGGCGUAAAGCGUGCGUAGGUGGUUCGUUAAGUCUGAUGUGAAAGCCCUGGGCUCAACCUGGGAAUGGCAUUGGAUACUGGCGACCUAGAGUGCGGUAGAGGGUGGCGGAAUUCCCGGUGUAGCAGUGAAAUGCGUAGAUAUCGGGAGGAACAUCCGUGGCGAAGGCGGCCACCUGGACCAGCACUGACACUGAGGCACGAAAGCGUGGGGAGCAAACAGG
rnacentral:rRNA from 1 species